rnacentral:tRNA from 2 species
CGCUAAGAAGCUAAACAGGGUCGUAGCAUUAGCCUUUUAAGCUAAAUAUUGGUGACUCCCAACCACCCUUAGUGA